ensembl:lncRNA
ACGAUUUUUGGGGUGUCAAAAGUUCCCGAUGCCGGUAUAUUGUUUUUUUUAGAGUGGGAAAUGAAAACGUGUCAUCUUUCUACUCUAAAUUCUCAGACAUUUCGAUCCAAAAGAAAAUUGUCCAAUAAACUAGGCUUCAAAUGUUGAUUUCAUACUUUGUGACGAUAAUAAUGUCACGCAAAAUGGCUGCAGGUGUUCCGAUCAGCAUGAGAUUCCCUCGUUUCAUUCUAUUUAUUCAAUAUCGGUUAUCAGUGAAUAUCCACCCGUACUGAUUUAGCGGUUAAAAAGGACAAUAUCGGUGAUAGUACUGGUACCCCUUGACUUAUUACACAUUUUGUGUUCCAGCCUGAAUUUAAAAUGGAUUUAAUGUAUUUUUCCUAAUCCAUUUAUCUACACACAAUACCCUAUAAUAACAAAGUCAAAACAUGUUUAUUUUUGUUUUUUUUAAAUGUUGAAAAUAUAUUGAAAAAAUGAAAUACGGAAAUAUAUCUAAUUUACAUAAGUAUUCACACCUCUUUGCUAUGACGCUACAAAUUGCAUCCAAUGUCCUUUGAUCAUCCUUGGGUUUGUCACUACAACUCGAUUUGAAGUCUACAUGUGGACAUGAUUUAGAAAGAGACACAGCUGUAUGUGUAAAUAAAGUCCCACUGUUGACAGAGCAGAAACUGUAGCAUGAAGUCCAAGGAACUGUCCGUAGUGCUCUGAGAUAUACUGUAGGCUUAAUCACAAUUCUAUCUGGGGGAAAAGGGUAUAAAGAAUGUUUAGAAUGUUGAAGAAGUUUCCAUGAGCCCAGUGGUCUCCAUCAUAGGAAAUUGAAAAAAAUAUGGAACUACCCAGACUGCUUAGAGCUGGCUGUCUGACCUAACUGAGCAAUUGGGCAAGAACCCAAUGACCACUCUUAACAGAUCUACAGAGUUUCUUGGCUGAGAUGGGAGAACCUGUCAGAAGGACAACAGUCUUUACAGCACUUCACCAAUCUGGGCUUUAUAUGGGAGAGUGGUCAGAUGGAAGCCACUCCUGAGGAAAAGGUUUCCAUGUAACAGGAUGGUGGAGACUAAAUGGGAAACAGACCAUUUUUCAGGAGUAUUGUAUAUUUAAGUGUUUUUGUUUGAAUUAUUAGUAUUUUAAUUUACUGUGUACGUAACAUGUUUUAUAUUAACUCUUGUAAUAAUGUUCACUCUUGACUUUUUUUUUUUUUUUUUUGAAUUGAUAUUUAACUUAACUUGAGACACUAUCCUGAAUAAUGGCUCACUCAGGUGACUCGGGCUCUCACUCAGGUGACUCGCUGGGCCAGUAACUUGAUUAUGUCAACUUAGCCAAUUGAACAUUUUUUAACAAUAUUUCAACACAAAACAUUUACUGCUAUUCAAAUGUUCUAAAAACAUGUUGUGUGUUAAGAUGUAUUUACUUUCAGUGUUUUUCACAAUAAACCAGGGCUUGCAUACACUUUUGUUCCUCUUCUCUCAUACAGGUUGAAAAGGGCAGUGCCUCGAGGACAUGAGUUGUGCACAAAAUGUGCAUUUUUUUAUGUUUGUUGCAAGGCACUGUAUAUUUUCCUAUUUUCAAAGAAGCUGUC